CUUAAUGACUAUUUCAUGCUGAAAGCACCAGUUCUCAUCUGAUCACCAAAGUUAAAUGUUGAGCCUAGUUCGUACCUGGAUGGUUGACUGCUUUGGAUACCCAGGUGUUGUGAGCA
rnacentral:rRNA from 1 species